GAUGAAGAACGCAGCGAAAUGCGAUAAGUAAUGUGAAUUGCAGAAUUCAGUGAAUCAUCGAAUCUUUGAACGCACAUUGCGCCCUCCGGCAUUCCGGGGGGCAUGCCUGUCCGAGCGUCACGAAAACCCCAUCACACUCGUUGUGGUCAUGGCUGCAGUGAGUCGUCUCCAGCGGAGAGGGUCACGCCGCUGAAAGGAAUGGUGCGGAUGAGUUCCGAUGGCCGAACGUAGUACUUGACAACCGUCGGCCGAUGGGACCCUCCAUCUCGCCCUGACGACGUACCCCCGUCGUACCCCCGAUCAGGUGGACCUCGGAUCAGGUAGGGAUACCCGCUGAACUUAAGCAUAUCAAUAGCGGAGGA
rnacentral:misc_RNA from 1 species